rnacentral:rRNA from 1 species
UAAAGCGACCAUACAACGUUGAAAGCACUGGUUCUCGUUCGACCACCGCGUUUAAGCAACGUUGGGCCCGGUCAGUAUUUAUCCUGUUUCGGUUUGG